rnacentral:rRNA from 1 species
UAGUCCACGCCGUAAACGAUGUGUGCUAGAUGUCGGGUCCAUAGGAUUCGGUGUCGCAGCUAACGCACUAAGCACACCGCCUGGGGAGUACGGUCGCAAGAUUAAAACUCAAAGGAAUUGACGGGGACCCGCACAAGCGGUGGAGCAUGUUCUUUAAUUCGACGCAACGCGAAGAACCUUACCUACACUUGACAUACUCGUCGGGGAUUUCAGAGAUGAUUUCCUUCGGUUCGGCCGGACGAUGUACAGGUGCUGCAUGGCUGUCGUCAGCUCGUGUCGUGAGAUGUUGGGUUAAGUCCCGCAACGAGCGCAACCCUCACUGUUAGUUGCCAGCAUUUAGUUGGGCACUCUAGCGGGAACUGCCGGUGCUAAGCCGGAGGAAGGUGGGGGAUGACGUCAAGUCCUCAUGGGCCCUUACGGGGUAGGGGCUACACACGUGCUACAAU